AUACGAAGGGGGCUAGCGUUGUUCGGAUUUACUGGGCGUAAAGCGCACGUAGGCGGAUUGAUUAGUUAGGGGUGAAAUCCCGAGGCUCAACCUCGGAACUGCCUUUAAUACUGUCAAUCUCGAGACCGGAAGAGGUGAGUGGAACUCCUAGUGUAGAGGUGGAAUUCGUAGAUAUUAGGAAGAACACCAGUGGCGAAGGCGGCUCACUGGUCCGGUACUGACGCUGAGGUGCGAAAGCGUGGGGAGCGAACAGGAUUAGAAACCCCGGUAGUCC
rnacentral:rRNA from 1 species